rnacentral:rRNA from 1 species
ACGAACGCUGGCGGCGUGCUUAACCCAUGCCAGUCGCACGGAAAGGCCCUGCUUGCAGGGUACUCGAGUGGCGAACGGGUGAGUAACACGUGGGUGAUCUGCCCUGCACUUCGGGAUAAGCCUGGGAAACUGGGUCUAAUACCGGAUAGGAGCCAUUUUUAGUGUGAUGGUUGGAAAGUUUUUUCGGUGUAGGAUGAGCUCGCGGCCUAUCAGCUUGUUGGUGGGGUAAUGGCCUACCAAGGCGGCGACGGGUAGCCGGCCUGCGAGGGUGGACGGCCACAUUGGGACUGAGAUACGGCCCAGACUCCUACGGGAGGCAGCAGUGGGGAAUAUUGCACAAUGGGCGCAAGCCUGAUGCAGCGACGCCGCGGGGGGGAUGACGGCCUUCGGGUUGUAAACUCCUUUCGCUAGGGACGAAGCUUUUUGUGACGGUACCUAGAUAAGAAGCACCGGCUAACUACGUG